rnacentral:rRNA from 1 species
UACGUAGGGGGCUAGCGUUGUCCGGAAUCAUUGGGCGUAAAGAGCGUGUAGGCGGUCCGGUAAGUCCGCUGUGAAAGUCCAGGGCUCAACCCCUGGAAUGCCGGUGGAAACUGUCGGGCUGGAGUCCGGAAGAGGCGAGUGGAAUUCCUGGUGUAGCGGUGAAAUGCGCAGAUAUCAGGAGGAACACCAAUGGCGAAGGCAGCUCGCUGGGACGGUACUGACGCUGAGACGCGAAAGCGUGGGGAGCAAACAGG